AACUCUCACUUUCUAACCCUGUGCACUUGUUUGGGAUAGUAACUCUCGCAAGAGAGCGAACUCCUAUUCACUUAUAAACACAAAGUCUAUGAAUGUAUUAAAUUUUAUAACAAAAUAAAACUUUCAACAACGGAUCUCUUGGCUCUCGCAUCGAUGAAGAACGCAGCGAAAUGCGAUAAGUAAUGUGAAUUGCAGAAUUCAGUGAAUCAUCGAAUCUUUGAACGCACCUUGCGCUCCAUGGUAUUCCGUGGAGCAUGCCUGUUUGAGUGUCAUGAAUACUUCAACCCUCCUCUUUCUUAAUGAUUGAGGAGGUGUUUGGUUUCUGAGCGCUGCUGGCCUUUACGGUCUAGCUCGUUCGUAAUGCAUUAGCAUCCGCAAUCGAACUUCGGAUUGACUUGGCGUAAUAGACUAUUCGCUGAGGAAUUCUAGUCUUCGGACUAGAGCCGGGUUGGGUUAAAGGAAGCUUCUAAUCAGAAUGUCUACAUUUUAAGAUUAGAUCUCAAAUCAGGUAGGACUACCCGCUGAACUUAAGCAUAUCAAUAAGCGGAGG
rnacentral:rRNA from 1 species